AUCGUGGAUCUUGCAAUGCC
rnacentral:miRNA from 1 species